rnacentral:rRNA from 1 species
UGAGUAACCUGCCCUUAACUCUGGGAUAAGCCUGGGGAACUGGGUCUAAUACCGGAUAUGACUCCUCAUCGCAUGGGUGGGGGGUGGAAAGCUUUAUUGUGGUUUUGGAUGGACUCGCGGCCUAUCAGCUUGUUGGUGGGGUAAUGGCCUACCGAAGGCGACGAUCCGUAGCUGGUCUGAGAGGGCGACCGGCCACACGUGGGACUGGAGACCACGGCCCAGACCUCCGUACGGGGAGGCAG